GGGGUGAGAAGGGGCUGUCCCCCAACAGAGAGCUUAGGAAGGACUUCCUGCACUAGGAACCUGGCUCUGGGAUGAGAAACUGGGGGCUGUUCCUGGGAGGGGCCAAGGAUCCCAAGGUCACCACUGCUUUGCUGGCUGUUGAAGGCCCCCAGCACCUCUGCAGGCCCUUACCGGGCCCCCAAACAAAUCCUUGCCCCAUCAAGCUCUCCUUCAUCCUUUCCCUGUCCUCAGUCUUCUGCUCUCCUGCCCACUUUUGAGCUGGUCCACCCCCAUGCCUCUUCAUAUGCAGCCUGGUUUUAGCAAGCUGACAGGCUUACAGGAGGAACUUGGAGAAACUGGCAGAUCCUCCCCAGUCGUCCUGAGACUCUGCCCAGGUUUGCAAUGCCACUUUCCUUCCACCUGCAGUUGCCGUUGAUGAGACACUUCCCACAGGUUCUGGUGAGUUGGGGAUCCCCUGUACUGAUCCUCUUCUCCAGGUGUUCUGGUGGCUGGGCUGCAAGGCAGAGGUUCUGCCUGGGAGGACGGGAGCUUGCACCCCCUUGGGUUCUCUCUUGUUCUGAAGGUCGGCUUGCUCCUAGCAGGCGAGUCAUGCUCCUGUAUCUCACUUUUCCCUCCAAAGCAUGGGGCAGGCAGGCAGGGGUCACGGACUCGUGGAGCACAGACCAUGGUAACAUGAACCCAUCACUACUACGGCUGCGCUUGAGCCCCCCAGGGAUGAGGCAGUGCUGAUCUUUACACCACCCAGGUGGGACUGAGGCACAGGCAGGCUGUGGGACUGUCCCCAGCUGACACAUGCGCUGCUACUGAGCUCCUUGAACUUGGCCCUGGGCAGGGCGUCUGCACCAGGGCAAGAUGUGCCAGGCAUCAGGGCAACGGCUUUUGUGAGUGGAAGGGAUCGUGGAGGGGGACCCAAGGAGACUUUAGCUGCACUUUUGGGAGCUCAGGUAACACCAUUUCUUUCUACAGAUGCUGAUGUAAGGGGCAGGGCUUCAGAAGGAGCCUUGGUGGAUGCUGCUGACCUGGUGGAAAGCGUUCUGAGAUCUGUGGGUGAUACCCUAGCUGAGACGGUGCGGCUGCUGUUUGGGGUAAAGAAACGUGAGUGGGGAAGGUGGACAGGAACAGGGGACAGGAGGGCUUUGACAUGGGGGUUCAGACCUCCAGCAGGGACUGUGCUGCAGUGGUAAGAGGUAUCUCCAGCUACUUCUGACUAUUCCACACUGGGUGAUGGUGGGAGACAUGGUGGAGGAAAAGGGGGGCUGUGGGAGACGUGAACCAUGAUGUUGGGAGCCAGCUGGAUAUUCCUGUGAGGGACGAAAUGCUUGCCAUAGGGCAGCCGUGGGGUGGUCGGGGACUGUGCCAGGUCUCACCUCUUCUGUGUUUUUUCCUUUCAGAAGGAUAAGAACGACCAGCACAGCAUCCUGUGGCAUCCCUGCCCCUGCACAUCCGUUGCUGCAGCUCCCUGAUGCUGGAUCUCAUUGAAUCCCAGAUGCUGCCUGUGACACCAGCUCCUCCUGUGGCUCUUCUUGCACGGGACCCAUUCUGCACGCGCGUCAUCCACGGCCAAAGCUACCAAUAAAGCAAAACUCAAA